AGGAGGUGUAGAGGUGGUAGUCAUUGGUGGUAGGUAUACAGGAGGUGUAGAGGUGGUAGUCAUUGGCGGUAGGUUUACAGGAGGUGUAGAGGUGGUAGUCAUUGGCGGUAGGUAUACAGGAGGUGUAGAGGUGGUAGGUAUACAGGAGGUGUAGAGGUGGUAGUCAUUGGCGGUAGGUAUACAGGAGGUGUAGAGGUGGUAGUCAUUGGCGGUAGGUAUACAGGAGGUGUAGAGGUGGUAGUCAUUGGCGGUAGGUAUACAGGAGGUGUAGAGGUGGUAGAUAUACAGGAGGUGUAGAGGUGGUAGUCAUUGGCGAUAGGUAUACAGGAGGUGUAGAGGUGGUAGUCAUUGGCGGUAGGUAUACAGGAGGUGUAAGUCAUUGGCGGUAGGUAUACAGGAGGUGUAGAGGUGGUAGUCAUUGGCGGUAGGUAUACAGGAGGUGUAAAGGUGGUAGUCAUUGGCGGUAGGUAUACAGGAGGUGUAAGUCAUUGGCGGUAGGUAUACAGGAGGUGUAGAGGUGGUAGUCAUUGGCGGUAGGUAUACAGGAGGUGUAAGUCAUUGGCGGUAGGUAUACAGGAGGUGUAGAGGUGGUAGUCAUUGGCGGUAGGUAUACAGGAGGUGUAAAGGUGGUAGUCAUUGGCGGUAGGUAUACAGGAGGUGUAAGUCAUUGGCGGUAGGUAUACAGAAGGUGUAGAGGUGGUAGUCAUUGGUGGUAGGUAUACAGGAGGUGUAAAGGUGGUAGUCAU